CAGCCGAAAAGUAAGCGCAUUCUUUUCACUUGCACUGGACUGCACUACCUUGGACUCCACGCAAGACAGGUUUUCGGGAGCUGCACUUUCCAGCUGAAAGGAACUUUAUUAGCAAUGCCUUUCUUUUCAACAGGAAAGUGCAGCACGCAAAUAACCCAGUUCAGAUCUGGUGCAGGCGGUGCAAGCGAAAAGAAUGCACCUUGUUGUGUCUCUCCACACGGACACGGGCACGCAGCUAGCGCCGUUCUUCGGUCAUCGUGGUGCUCGCUGCGGCAGUUACUUUGACAACUUGAUGACAGAUGGCAGCACACACCUGGUUGCGUGCAGAGUUUUCGCGGUUGUUGGUAGCCAUGUGGGAGAGAUAAACAUUGCUUCCAACACCGUGCGUGGGACAUGCUUGGCGCAGGUCAAAACAACCCCAGGUGGUCCAAAUUAUCCGCAGUCCUACCCUAUGGCACGUGCAACAUGUCGCCACACUGCGCAGCCAACCUUAAGUGUAACAUCACGCCUCAGAACAUCAGUUAUCUCAUGUUGUGUAACCACCCUCCUCAGCAGUACUCAAGCUCGUGCUUCAAGUACCUCAAGCUUCGCCUGUGACGACAGCCGAGCUGUUCUCGGGGUUUUACAUUAUGCAUCAUCUUCACCAGCUCGCUUGCUUCCUAGCCAUUUUUUCAAGGUGGAACGUAACAAACACAGCAUACAAGUGCAGACAGACACGACACUAAUGGAGCUUGUGUGUGGAGCAGUGACAGUGGAGGCGUUGCCGCUGCCGGAGACACAUUGUCUGAAAAAGUGAACAGCAUAAGAGAAGCCAUUGGGAACCAGAUUAGCAGGAAGGGACGUUAUACCAUAACGGUCGGACCUCACACGCUUCACGGUACGGUUGAUGGCCGGAGCAGUCUACCUUUUUCCUUGCGAAUGUUAAAAAGGUGUUUGUCAUGUCCAGGCCAAAGGAUUCCUCCGUACUUGACAUUUCUGAAGGAGCACAGGCAAGAUAGUCUGACGGCGAGCAGGUGACCACUCAGUUCGUACCAAGACGAUCAUGGCAGUCAUGUCUUACCGGGAGGACACUUACCAGGACAAACCAUAGCAAGUGAACUCAUGCCACAUUCACCUAUACAAAUCCAUGUCGUGCCAGGAAAGACAGUAUGAGGAAAAAAAUUCACUUGUUCAGGUUCACCUUGUCUCGCUUAAUCCUUUUCGAAUCAACGCAGACAAGGCCGCAUUUUACGGAACUCCAACCUUGCACUGCGGAGGGCACUAUGGCUUUACAUCAUCACUCGCAUGGGCUUACUGUUCACCAGACGAUGGAAGGAGCAUUCGUCGAGGUAGCCUGCAUCAAGCACGGAAGAAAACGAAUUUGCGGAGUUGAAGGGCGGCAUUAAAAGUCGACAAAUCGAAUUAUGCGCGUAGCUGCUGGAUAUAUUUACGAAUUUUUUCGUUUCAUGCAAGCAGCCAAGAGCAAGAAGUAAUACGGCAUUAUUUACCAUCAACAUUUGCAGAUGGACACGUACGCUUGGACACCGUAACAAAUAAACUGCUUUUAUCCUUUCUGA